GGUAUCAGAAGUGCGAAUGCUGACAUAAGUAACGAUAAAGCGGGUGAAAAGCCCGCUCGCCGGAAGACCAAGGGUUCCUGUCCAACGUUAAUCGGGGCAGGGUGAGUCGACCCCUAAGGCGAGGCCGAAAGGCGUAGUCGAUGGGAAACGGGUUAAUAUUCCCGUACUUGGUGUUACUGCGAAGGGGGGACGGAGAAGGCUAUGUUGGCCGGGCGACGGUUGUCCCGGUUUAAGCGUGUAGGUGUGUGUUCCAGGUAAAUCCGGUUCACUUUAACACUGAGGCGUGAUGACGAGGCACUACGGUGCUGAAGCAACAAAUGCCCUGCUUCCAGGAAAAGCCUCUAAGCAUCAGGUAACAUCAAAUCGUACCCCAAACCGACACAGGUGGUCAGGUAGAGAAUACCAAGGCGCUUGAGAGAACUCGGGUGAAGGAACUAGGCAAAAUGGUGCCGUAACUUCGGGAGAAGGCACGCUGACACGUAGGUGAAGUGAUUUACUCAUGGAGCUGAAGUCAGUCGAAGAUACCAGCUGGCUGCAACUGUUUAUUAAAAACACAGCACUGUGCAAACACGAAAGUGGACGUAUACGGUGUGACGCCUGCCCGGUGCCGGAAGGUUAAUUGAUGGGGUCAGCGCAAGCGAAGCUCCUGAUCGAAGCCCCGGUAAACGGCGGCCGUAACUAUAACGGUCCUAAGGUAGCGAAAUUCCUUGUCGGGUAAGUUCCGACCUGCACGAAUGGCGUAAUGAUGGCCAGGCUGUCUCCACCCGAGACUCAGUGAAAUUGAACUCGCUGUGAAGAUGCAGUGUACCCGCGGCAAGACGGAAAGACCCCGUGAACCUUUACUAUAGCUUGACACUGAACAUUGAGCCUUGAUGUGUAGGAUAGGUGGGAGGCUUUGAAGCGUGGACGCCAGUCUGCGUGGAGCCGACCUUGAAAUACCACCCUUUAAUGUUUGAUGUUCUAACGUGGACCCGUAAUCCGGGUUGCGGACAGUGUCUGGUGGGUAGUUUGACUGGGGCGGUCUCCUCCUAAAGAGUAACGGAGGAGCACGAAGGUUGGCUAAUCCUGGUCGGACAUCAGGAGGUUAGUGCAAUGGCAUAAGCCAGCUUGACUGCGAGCGUGACGGCGCGAGCAGGUGCGAAAGCAGGUCAUAGUGAUCCGGUGGUUCUGAAUGGAAGGGCCAUCGCUCAACGGAUAAAAGGUACUCCGGGGAUAACAGGCUGAUACCGCCCAAGAGUUCAUAUCGACGGCGGUGUUUGGCACCUCGAUGUCGGCUCAUCACAUCCUGGGGCUGAAGUAGGUCCCAAGGGUAUGGCUGUUCGCCAUUUAAAGUGGUACGCGAGCUGGGUUUAGAACGUCGUGAGACAGUUCGGUCCCUAUCUGCCGUGGGCGCUGGAGAACUGAGGGGGGCUGCUCCUAGUACGAGAGGACCGGAGUGGACGCAUCACUGGUGUUCGGGUUGUCAUGCCAAUGGCACUGCCCGGUAGCUAAAUGCGGAAGAGAUAAGUGCUGAAAGCAUCUAAGCACGAAACUUGCCCCGAGAUGAGUUCU
rnacentral:rRNA from 1 species